rnacentral:lncRNA from 1 species
AUCAGGGCUGGCCCUAGAGCCUGGCUGCUGAUUCUGCAGACAAGUGUACAGAUAUAUAGGCACAAAAUAUGCCCACAUGAAUGAAAAAGAUGGCUGCAACCUCCUCAGGUUUAUUUUAAAACACGAUACGAUGAAGAAAGCAUCGUUACAGGAGGGUGCUGAGGAUUAGCAACAGCUCCUGAGCUCAGCAAAGCUGCUCUGUGAACUUCUCAGAGAGGAAACACCUCACACAUAGAUGAAGACCUUGGGUAGAAUGAGG